CGUUUUAGGUGUGACUAUCAGGAUUCCCUCAGUAACGGCGAGUGAAGAGGGAUGAGCCCAGCACCGAAGCCUGCGGCAGGUUUGCUGUUAGGCAAUGUGGUGUGCGGGUCGGCUGGCGGGACCGCCGCUCCACUCGAAGUCCAGCAUUGAGUAUGGUGAUGAUGGAGGUAGAUGAUGGCCCACAGAGGGUGAGAGGCCCGUAGGAGUGGAGUGGUCCAGGCGUGUGAGGCGGUUCACCAGGUCGGCCUAAGAGUCGGGUUGUUUGAGAUUGCAGCCCAAAGUGGGUGGUAAACUCCAUCCAAGGCUAAAUACAAGCACGAGUCCGAUAGCGAACAAGUACCGUGAGGGAAAGUUGAAAAGUAUUCCUGAAGAGA
rnacentral:rRNA from 1 species